rnacentral:rRNA from 1 species
GAGUUUGAUCCUGGCUCAGAUUGAACGCUGGCGGCAUGCCUAACACAUGCAAGUCGCGCGGGGUGUAGCAAUACAUCUAGCGGCGGACGGGUGAGGAAUACACAGGAAUUUGCCUUUAGGUGGGGGAUAGCCCAGGGAAACUUGGAGUAAUACCGCAUGAUGUCGAGAGACCAAAGCAGGGGAUCGCAAGACCUUGCGCCUUUAGAGGAGCCUAUGUCUGAUUAGCUAGUUGGUAGGGUAAUGGCCUACCAAGGCGACGAUCAGUAACUGGUCUGAGAGGACGAUCAGUCACACCGGAACUGAGACACGGUCCGGACUCCUACGGGAGGCAGCAGUGGGGAAUAUUGGACAAUGGGCGCAAGCCUGAUCCAGCAAUGCCGCGUGUGUGAAGAAGGCCUUCGGGUUGUAAAGCACUUUAGGCUGGGAAGAAAAAGUCGGAGCUAACAUCUCCGACCUUGACGGUACCAGAAGAAUAAGCACCGGCUAACUCUGUGCCAGCAGCCGCGGUAAUACGUAGGGUGCGAACGUUAAUCGGAAUUACUGGGCGUAAAGCGUGCGCAGGCGGUUUUUCAAGUCUGAUGUGAAAUCCCCGGGCUUAACCUGGGAACUGCGUUGGAAACUGAAAGACUAGAGUGCGGCAGAGGGGGGUAGAAUUCCACGUGUAGCAGUGAAAUGCGUAGAUAUGUGGAGGAAUACCGAUGGCGAAGGCAGCCCCCUGGGUCGACACUGACGCUCAUGCACGAAAGCGUGGGUAGCAAACAGGAUUAGAUACCCUGGUAGUCG